rnacentral:rRNA from 1 species
AUUGAACGCUGGCGGCAUGCCUUACACAUGCAAGUCGAACGGCAGCAUGAUCUAGCUUGCUAGAUUGAUGGCGAGUGGCGAACGGGUGAGUAAUACAUCGGAACGUGCCCUGUAGUGGGGGAUAACUAGUCGAAAGAUUAGCUAAUACCGCAUACGACCUGAGGGUGAAAGUGGGGGACCGCAAGGCCUCAUGCUAUAGGAGCGGCCGAUGUCUGAUUAGCUAGUUGGUGAGGUAAAGGCUCACCAAGGCGACGAUCAGUAGCUGGUCUGAGAGGACGGUCAGCCACACUGGGACUGAGACACGGCCCAGACUCCUACGGGAGGCAGCAGUGGGGAAUUUUGGACAAUGGGCGAAAGCCUGAUCCAGCAAUGCCGCGUGUGUGAAGAAGGCCUUCGGGUUGUAAAGCACUUUUGUCCGGAAAGAAAUGGCUCUGGUUAAUACCUGGGGUCGAUGACGGUACCGGAAGAAUAAGGACCGGCUAACUACGUG